UGGACGCACACGGGGAGCUGGGGAUUUGGCCCGGCUGAGAGGAAUGACCCAAUCAUUCGACCCUAGAACCUGAUCCGGGUAAUGCCGGCGUAGGGACCAGAGCACCGCAUGUUCG
rfam:Coriobacteriaceae bacterium KH1P3 genome assembly, contig: Ga0059117_101